GCUGAAAGGCUCUUCUGUGGUCCUGGCUACGGGAAUAGCUCUCAAGGGCCAGCCAUGGUUUCUGGCCACUGGCCACACUGUCUUCUGAACCCUUGGCCUGUGUGGAGCUCCCUCCCUGAGUUCCCAGAGCCCUGGCAGGCCCCAGGUUCCUCUGCCCAGCCUUCUGCUGGCCUGAGUGUCCUGUGGAGGAGGGGAGGCAGGACUGCAGGAGGACCCAGCCAGGCUGAGCUGGGAGCCAAGAGGGGCUUGGCAACUUCUUGAGGACUGGCACAGUGCCUCUGCCUUCUCCAACAACCCUCUGCCUCGCCUCAGGGAGCUGCUCAGGACCUGACCGAGCAUUCAGUUAAUAAAGCCGUGUUGAUGUUGCCUGGUAAAAGUAAACCCAAAGACACAAGGUCACCUGACAUUUAGUAGUUCUGGCCAAUAGAAAUAUAAUACCAGCCACAUGUUUUUAAAAAAUUUUCUAGUGGACACGGAGAGAGAAGAAAACAGGGCCGUGAAACUCCCCUGGAGAGGGGAUUUAUGGUAGCCUCAUUUCCCAGAAGCUGCUGCUUUUCGUCAGAUAAGGGACGCUCCCAGGAGACUAUUUUCCUGCAUCUGUUGAAUCUCAAAUAUCCUCAGCUUAAAAGGAUCUUCAUGCCAACUCUGUGGUUCCAAGUGGGGAAACUGAGGUGCAGUUCCUGUGCGGCCACGCCGUGACCCCUUCCCUCCAGCUGAAUCGGUUUCCACGAAGUCCCAGGGGCCGCCCGAGAAAACCUGGAGGCCUUCCUGCCCUGAGGAGCCUGGGGAGGGAGACGCCUCGCUGACUCUCCGCUCCUCGGACACAGGCGGCGGGCGGGCAGGCGAGGGCCGCGGGGACCAGGCGGCCGGGGUUUAAAACUCCAGGGGACCGUGAUGUAACUCGGCGCCGGGCUUGCACGAGAAGCCCCAGGCGCGCACAAGAAGCCCCAGGCGCCGCAGCGGCUUGUUUACCGAGUGGGGAGUUUAUUGGGGGCGGAGUCAUAGGCGCCUCGGCCCCGCCCCCGGUGCGC
ensembl:lncRNA